AGAGUUUGAUCCUGGCUCAGAUUGAACGCUGGCGGCACGCUUAACACAUGCAAGUCGAACGGCAGCACGUUGUGGGGUAACUCAUGAUGGUGGCGAGUGGCGGACGGGUGAGUAAAACGUAGGGAUCUGCCCUGAAGAGUGGGAUAACCCGAGGAAACUUGGGCUAAUACCGCAUAGACUCUGAGGAGUAAAGGUAGCCG
rnacentral:rRNA from 1 species